rnacentral:lncRNA from 1 species
AUUUUUUAAAAGUUUUGUCAUGGGCACAUACUAAUCUUGUAAUGUUAUUUUGGAAGCCAUUUUUUAAUGGAACAGGGCGGGAAAAGCCCCCUCGCAGUGAUGCUGCUAAGCUGCCAGCAAACCCUCUCCGUUUUCUCUCAUGAACCGGGCGAACGUCAGGGGCUGUUAGACUGGAAAGGGCUGCCUUCGUUUAGCUCUCCCCUGUCCCCGGUGAGAAAACUGAGGUACAAGGUGGAGCCAGGCCUCCGUGUUCACAGCCGUCACUUUGGUGCAAGCCUGGCUGGCCUCUGCAACUUUGCCCAGUCUGGUGCGGAAAAGAAGCACGCUCCUGCUGGCUGCUCCUGGGCCCCGUGCUUUGGCCCUGUCAUCAAAUACCAGCGCAAGAGACCCUGAAGCCUGGCCUUCCCUCUCCCCAAACCCCGCCAUCUCUCAGGAGCAUAGGCGUCCCUAUCGUCUCACAGGAGAGAGUUUCAUUGGUACUAUCACCCGAACUUCCGCAUUCCUCUGGAUUUGUACACUUUACAGAGUAUGAACAGCUGUAGCUUUUCAGCAAAAAUGAACACAGCCUCCAGUAAGAGACACACAGAGGUUACCCAGCUUAGACCUACCCACCAGCAGCUCCCAGCCUGUGGGUACAGGGAGUGCAACAAAUAGCCUCCCACCUCCGACUUCUCCCUGCCUUCCCCCCUGAGCCGCGGAGGGGGAGUUCAGGUGAGUCUGGCCAGGUGUGGGCCACAGGGAUUCUUCCUCCUGUGACGUAGCAGAAAAAGCACUUGUUUUAAACAGCAGAAGACAUGAGUUUGCAAGAGCAUUCUAUCACUUAUGAAUUCUGUGCCCGUGGAAAAGUCAUAGGAACCUCGAUUUUCAUGAUGAUUGCAGUGGAAACUUUCUUGUGUUUGCGAACGCAGACGGACACUCGACACCAAGUUUCUCCAUGGACGGCAUGCAUUUACAUGCAUAAUACGGCGGAUGUGCCCACUCUGACUGCAGCUCAUUUCCUAAGUCGCAAGAAACGCUGGGAAUCCUGUUGGCAGAAAAAUCAAACAAUUAACAAUCCACCUUCUAAACAGACUACUGGUAACGGACGGCUUCAGAGGCAGCCAGUCAGACACGAGCGAAUGCACUCCCCCCACGCCUGGGCUGCCUUGGAGUUCAGAUGAAAACAAGUUCAGGAAGUUGAUUUGAUGGGCAGCACCAACCAAACCACUUAUGAGGCUUGCACAUGCGUGUCAGAAUUAGGCUGCUAUGAAAUACUGUGUGAUCUGUUCCACCUUCUGUAAGUUUCUCAAAAGUGAGGACUCUACUCUCGGAAACAGCGUCCUCCCCGCCACGGCCAUCAGUGUGCAUUUGGUAGACACACGCACUCACACACACUCACAGCUCAUUAAAAUGCAUUGCGAACUUGGCGUCUAUCCCCAGGAUGUUUCUUCAUUAGCUAUUUUGGAUGGCCUCUACCGCACACGCAUUUCAAGAGCCACGUUCCUUUAACUCUCAAAUCAAUACACUCUUAGCAAUUCCAAGUGGCCAGAAAGGUCACCCGCGAACCCCUUCAGUCCUAGAAGAGUGGCAGAGAAGGGAUGGGAAAGGACCCUUCCAAGAUCACACAGCAAGAAGAUGAAGGUAGUUCAUUCACCCUUGGACCUCUCUCUGCUCCAUCAAAAGAUAAAGAGACAUUUGCUAAAUGUCAUUAGUAGUUCCUAUAUGUAAAUGGAAGAAUAAAGACAAAUAAGACACAGUUAUUAUUUUCCAAGGGCUCAUAGUUUGAGAGUGAGACUCAACCUUAAAAACAGGCUACAACCCAAGACAUCAAAUUUCAAGUGGGCCAGAAAAAACAUGGGGUGGAGGGGGCAGAGCUAAUUCCAGUCGAGGGGCCAGGAAGGCUCCAUAGAAACUGAGUACAAGAUCACUCCCUGUGGGCACGUUGUAGAUUGAGUGGAAGACAGAUGCAGACCCGGCUAUUGUCAAGGACAACCUGCUGUCCACAUAGGUAGAGGGAUGGACCACCAACCUCAGAUGGAAAUUCGGGUAGCCUUUUUCCAUAACUACAGCAUCCUUCUCUCUCUCUCGGCCUCUUCCUAUGAACCAACUGAUGAAAAAGGCAGUGAUGUCAAGCAACUUCUGAGCUCACAAGAGAGAUGCAAGGCUGGUGGCAUCUCUAUAACAAAUAAGCCUGAGUCCCAAGUCCCUGCCAGAUCACUAUUUUUCACAGUGGCUUCCAAAAACAAAUAUGUUGCUACCCCAUUGGAAAGGGCAGCUGAGAUUCUAAGCCACUUACCCAAGGAGAAUAAAAGGUGAAGUGAGUAAACCACCCAACCCAAGCACAGAGCUCUUUCCACUAAUCCCCAUGGGCAUGCUCUUGAGAAACUCUAGCCAGACUUGCUGUACUCGCCAAGUCAUGCCCCAGCCCCCACUGUACAGCCCCUACAGUGUUCAGGGCUCUGUGGAAGCAAACACGUAAGAGUCCUGCACUCAUGGAGCUUGUGGUUUGCUUGGGAGAUGUGUGAGCCUCAAGUUAACUAUCUCUUUUAUUUAUAUUAAAUGUAUAUAAUGUUUAUAUGCAUAGAAUGUUUCAUUAUAUUAUAUAUGUGUGCAUAUACAUAAGUGUGUUUAUAUACAUAGAGAGAGAGAGAGACGGAAAGAGAGAGGAAGGGAUUGUUCCUACUGCCCACCACUACUACCAGACACACACUCCACAUCACUACUACCAGACACACACUCCACACAUGGAUGUGGAGUGUGUGUCUGGUAGUAGUGGUGGGCAGUAGGAGCAGGUCAAGAUGCUCAGGGCACGCAGAUCUGACUACACAUGUAUCACCCAGCAGUGACACAGAUACUCAGGUGAGCAAACCAGUCCGGCACAGUAGAAUGGGCAAGAAUGUGAUGGGGUAAAUGAAACCAGGAAAAGAAACCACAAAGUGAGAAGAAGGGGCAGCAUCACACCUCACUUUUUCUGGGAUGCAACCCCACUUCUGCUCAGGGUCCCCUCUCAGACCCACCUGCCCCAACACUUCCAGCCCUCAGUAACGUUUCUGUUUCCCUGCACUCUUGAAACAUUUGGCAUUGCUUCCACAGAACUCAGCUCUGUCUUGCACGUCGUCUUCCCAGGAGUAAACACAUACAUGGGCAUCUCAUGUCUGGAACUCCUCUUUCCAGCACGUGCUCCAGGGGAAGCCUCAGUAGUCUGGCAACAGCGUAGCAUGGCCCAGCCCAGCCAAUAGAGUCCACUGUGAAUCUUUUUUUCUUUUUUUUGAGAUGGAGUCUCACUCUGUUGCCUGGGCUGGAGUGCAAUGGCAUGAUCUCAACUCACUGCAACCUCCGCCUCCCAGGUUCAAGCAAUUCUCCUGCCUCAGCCUCCCGAGAAGCUGGGAUUACAGGAGCCUGCCACUAUGCCCAGCUAAUUUUUUGUAUUUUUAGUAGAGAUGGGGUUUCACCAUGUUGGCCAGGCUGGUCUCGAACUCCUGACCUCGUGAUUUGCCAGCCUCAGCCUCCCAAAGUGCUGGGAGUACAGGUGUCAGCUAUGGUGCUCAUCCUACUGUGAAUCUUAAUGCUAGCACCUGCUGCCAAGUCACUUGGCCUCUCCCGUUCUCACCUGCCUCAUCUGUAAAAUGGGUGAGUAAUACAAUCUACCUCACAGAGUCCUACAAGACAGUAGACAGAGCUCAGCCCGUUGUGCAGCACACAGUAAGCACCCAACAAAAGAGAGUGGGUAACCCUGGCAACUGCAAAAUUGCACAGGUGAUCACUAGUCCUCAGUUUCCCCAUUUGUAGAAUGGGUACUAAGGUGUAAACUCUGCAGGAGUUUCAUGUGGACAGAAUAAUGCACAUAAGGAGCUUGGCACAUAGUAGAUGCUAAAAUUAUUUUGUCUAUGAGCAGCAGGUCUAUAUAUUUUAUAUCCCCAGGGAGCUUUGCUGAAUGUAAUAGACACUCCAUAAACACUUGUUGAUUUAUUGAGAAAAGAAUUCCUUGUACUAAUUACAUGCAUUCACACUGAUGCAAACUGACUCUAUCUGCCCAUUUAAAGAGAAAGAAACAAAACAUUAAGCUUCCUUCACGACAAAGGAGCAUCAAAUCAACAAGCAUCACGUUGCAGAGCUCUGUCUGGCCGGGUCUUGGGAUUCUCAAUUGCACAUUUGUGUAUAUGCUUCAGUCAGGAGGACUAUUCAGUCUGCCUCAGAUCAUUUUUAAAAGUUCGCAGGUUUUCAGGCUCCAAAAGUGUCAUUAUAUUUGGAAUGGAAUUUUGCCUCCUCCACCAGCAAUGUAAUAAAAUCUCCGAGUCUGAGAAAAAGUCAGAAAAGUUCAGAUGUCAACCAGGUUAACAUUAAAAUUGUUAGAAAACAGGAACCGUAAUUUGGGGAUUGAAAAAGAGGCAGAAUUCAUGUUGUAAGUGCAAGUGAUCUGGAAAUAGAUGUUUAUCUUGGCCAUUUUCAGGGAAGUGACAUCAUAUCGUGUGUCUACUGGGAUAUUACUCCUGCAUUUUUCAAUCCAGAUUUUGGCACUAAAGUUGGCAAAAUUAGACCAUUUUGUUAAACUGAUCUUGGAGGCGUCCACCUCCUGAGCACAUUACAACGCACCUAUGACAUGACUCGAGAACAAUGGGUGAAAAAUGGGCCAUAAAACAGGAAUGGCCUGCUUCAUGUAAAGUGGAUUUUAUAGUGCAG